GACGAACGCUGGCGGCGUGCCUAACACAUGCAAGUCGAGCGGGGUUGAAGCGAGAGGUAACUCGAACUUCUACCUAGCGGCGGACGGGUGAGUAACGCGUGGGCAACCUGCCUCAAGGUCUGGGAUAACAGCCCGAAAGGGCUGCUAAUACCGGGUAUGCUUGUGGCCUCGCAUGGGGCUACGAGCAAAGGGGAAACCCGCCUUGAGAUGGGCCCGCGUCCCAUCAGCUAGUUGGUGAGGUAACAGCUCACCAAGGCGACGACGGGUAGCCGGCCUGAGAGGGUGACCGGCCACACUGGGACUGAGACACGGCCCAGACUCCUACGGGGGCAGCAGUGGGGGAUCUUGCACAAUGGGCGAAAGCCUGAUGCAGCGACGCCGCGUGAGCGAAGAAGGCCUGGUUGUAAAGCUCUGUCUGGAGGGACGAAGGAAGUGACGGUACCUCCGGAGGAAGCCACGGACUAACUACGUGCCAGGAGCCGGCGGUAAUCUCGUCUCUA
rnacentral:rRNA from 1 species